GAUGAACGCUAGCUACAGGCUUAACACAUGCAAGUCGAGGGGAAACGGCAUUGAGUGCUUGCACUCUUUGGACGUCGACCGGCGCACGGGUGAGUAACGCGUAUCCAACCUUCCCAUUACUGUGGGAUAACCUGCCGAAAGGCAGACUAAUACCGCAUAGUCUUCGAUGACGGCAUCAGAUUUGAAGUAAAGAUUUAUCGGUAAUGGAUGGGGAUGCGUCUAAUUAGCUUGUUGGCGGGGUAACGGCCCACCAAGGCGACGAUCAGUAGGGGUUCUGAGAGGAAGGUCCCCCACAUUGGAACUGAGACACGGUCCAAACUCCUACGGGAGGCAGCAGUGAGGAAUAUUGGUCAAUGGACGGAAGUCUGAACCAGCCAAGUAGCGUGCAGGAUGACGGCCCUAUGGGUUGUAAACUGCUUUUGUAUGGGGAUAAAGUUAGGGACGUGUCCCUAUUUGCAGGUACCAUACGAAUAAGGACCGGCUAAUUCCGUGCCAGCAGCCGCGGUAAUACGGAAGGUCCAGGCGUUAUCCGGAUUUAUUGGGUUUAAAGGGAGCGUAGGCUGGAGAUUAAGUGUGUUGUGAAAUGUAGACGCUCAACGUCUGACUUGCAGCGCAUACUGGUUUCCUUGAGUACGCACAACGUUGGCGGAAUUCGUCGUGUAGCGGUGAAAUGCUUAGAUAUGACGAAGAACUCCGAUUGCGAAGGCAGCUGACGGGAGCGCAACUGACGCUUAAGCUCGAAGGUGCGGGUAUCAAACAGG
rnacentral:rRNA from 1 species